CUUGCAAGCCUCAUCCCUCUGCCUGGACAGGUCCAAUGGGCCCAGGCAGAAUGGGCUGCAGGUGAGACCAGUCAUCCCCCUGCCCUCACCAGAAGCCCCAGCCCGGGCCAGAAACCCGAUGGAACCUAGCUGCUCUCUUUAUUUGACCCUCCAGUCAAGUAUCUGGACUGCUGGGCCAAAGGUCAUCUUUUUCUCUGACGUCUCUGCCUGGGCCCGCACAUGCUUGGUGACAUGGAAUAAUGGAUGCACAGAUGUCCAGGAGAGUCUGCUUGCUAUGAACGCCGUGGAAUAGAGAGCCUAUGAAGCCCUCAAGAACCUAGCCGGGGGGAAGUCCAGGCACUUUCAAAUGAGGAAGGGGUUCCCAGAAGCCCAAGGAAGGUGGCCAACAGCUGUAAAUCUCUCUCAUGACACGGCUUUGCAGACAGUGAGCGCGUUGAAGGGGUCUCAAAGACCUGGAUGCCACCUGCCUCAAAUGAAAGUAUGUGAGAUGUGAUAAAUAGCUUCCAGGCUCAUCGAUUUUACUCUUGGAAGUGUAUGGGGGAAGUUUAGUAAUUUAAGGUAUUUUUUUUUUUGCGGUACACGGGGCUCUCACUGCUGUGGCCUCUCCCGUUGCGGAGCACAGGCUCCGGACGU